rnacentral:rRNA from 1 species
AGUGAACGCUGGCGGUAGGCCUAACACAUGCAAGUCGAACGGCAGCACAGUAAGAGCUUGCUCUUACGGGUGGCGAGUGGCGGACGGGUGAGGAAUACAUCGGAAUCUAUUUUUUCGUGGGGGAUAACGUAGGGAAACUUACGCUAAUACCGCAUACGACCUACGGGUGAAAGCAGGAGAUCUUCGGACCUUGCGCGAUUGAAUGAGCCGAUGUCGGAUUAGCUAGUUGGCGGGGUAAAGGCCCACCAAGGCGACAAUCCGUAGCUGGUCUGAGAGGAUGAUCAGCCACACUGGAACUGAGACACGGUCCAGACUCCUACGGGAGGCAGCAGUGGGGAAUAUUGGACAAUGGGCGCAAGCCUGAUCCAGCCAUACCGCGUGGGUGAAGAAGGCCUUCGGGUUGUAAAGCCCUUUUGUUGGGAAAGAAAAGCAGCAGGUUAAUACCCCGCUGUUCUGACGGUACCCAAAGAAUAAGCACCGGCUAACUUCGUG